rnacentral:lncRNA from 1 species
AAAUUUUAUGGACAUAAGAUCGUUCUCGUGAUGUGCAAAUAGUAUAAUAGCCUAAUCCGUUAGUUAUAAUAAUUCGUCGAGUUCAAACUAUCAGCCCAAAAUAUUUAAGUUCAGUUAUCAUUACUAACACAUGAGAUUUCAUAUAAUCCAAUCAAAAUUAUUUCUGUUUAGACCCUGACGUCCUCGCCGAGUCUAAAUUCAGGUCAGAAUUACCUACAUAAGUGAUCUCUACGGAUUCAAGAGGUGGCUCUCAUCAAAUUCGUUGGUAUAGUAUUUUACCCUGCAUAAAGCUUAGUUCUCACACUUCUAGCUGGUAUUCAGCUCUGAUACUAAUUGUAAUGAUCCGACCCAUUAAUAAUAAUAACUUAUUAGAUACAAACCACCGAUCAAAAAUAUUUAAAUCUAGUUAUCAUUAUUAUCGUAUGAGACCUCAUAUAAUCCAAUUAGAAUUAUUUUAUGCGAAAUUAUUGAAGCGUUAUAGAUAACGAGAUGCAAUAUUUAGCAUCUU